GGAAGGAUCAUUGAAUCUAUCACAAUCCACAACUGUGAACCAUAUUGUUGGCCUCUGCAUUACCUUUCGGGGUCUUGCAGGCUGGACUGGCCUGAUUAAGUUCAGGUUGGGACAGGGCCUUGGCUGCGUCCUUGCGGCGUAGUCCGGGUCGGUCUUUAUAUCAACCAACCAACACCAAACCAAAACAAUAUAAAUCACUGAGUGUCGGCUUAGAGCCGUAACUCAUUAACCAAGACAACUCUCAACAACGGAUAUCUUGGCUCUCGCAACGAUGAAGAACGCAGCGAAAUGCGAUACGUAGUGUGAAUUGCAGAAAUACGUGAACCAUCGAAUCUUUGAACGCAUAUUGCGCCCGCGUCUUCGGACAAGGGCAUGUCUGCCUCAGCGUCGGGUUAAUAAUCGCAAACAAAUCCCUGUGGUUCACCCCUGUGGUUUUGUCUAUUGCGGAUCUGGCCGUCCCGAUUGAAUUUUCACUCGGGUCUGCUGAAGAGCAGAGGUUGACGCAUGGACCCGAUUAAGGGCCGCAACUGGGUAGGCAAUUCGUUGCUGAUGCUUUAGUUGUUGGCUUGUGGACUGUGCAAUGUCAGCUCAAACCAGGAACCGAGCCUUUGUGCUUGGCAAUAACCCUAUUUUCUCGACCUGAGCUCAGGCAAGAACACCCGCUGAACUUAAGCAUAUCAAUAAGCGGAGGAAAAGAAAAUAACAAUGAUUCCCCUAGUAACGGCGAGCGAAGCGGGAAUAGCCCAACUUGAAAAUCUCCCUUUGGAGAAUUGUAGUCUAGAGAAGCGCCCUCUAGGGCAGGCGGAGCUCAAGUCGGAUCGAAUGCCGCGUCAGAGAGGGUGAUAACCCCGUCGGCUCUUGCUUUGCCCUUCCACGAGGUGCUUUCCACGAGUCGGGUUGUUUGGGAAUGCAGCCCUAAUUUGGAGGUAAAUCCCUUCUAAGGCUAAAUAUUGGCGAGAGACCGAUAGCGAACAAGUACCGUGAGGGAAAGAUGAAAAGAACUUUGAAAAGAGAGUUAAAAGUGCUUGAAAUUGUUGAGAGGGAAGCGUUUGGAGUUCGUAGGUGCGCCCAGGUCAUAAUCAGGCCUAAAAACCUGUUGAAUGCGCUGGGCGCUGGUCAGCGCGGGUUGGUUUGGCGGGAUAACAGUUGGGUCCACCCAGGUAACCUGACCUAUGCCGCCGAGCCGACCAAGGAGUAAAGGUUGCUUUGUCCUCCGGGAUCUGCAUCCUAAAGGCGCUGGCAGAAGGGCUUCAACCGACCCGUCUUGAAACACGGACCAAGGAGUCUAACAUGUAUGCGAGUUGGUGGGUGGAAAACCCAUAAGCGCAAGUAACCUGACUGGAGGGAUGGCCUGUGCCUGCACCUUCGACCGACCAUGUUGCUUCUGCGAAAGGUUUGAGUGCGAGCAUACCUGUUGGGACCCGAAAGAUGGUGAACUAUGCCUGAGCAGGGUGAAGCCAGAGGAAACUCUGGUGGAGGCUCGUAGAUGUGCUGACGUGCAAAUCGCUUUUCGGACUUGGGUAUAGGGGCGAAAGACUAAUCGAACCAUCUAGUAGCUGGUUCCCUC
rnacentral:misc_RNA from 1 species